UACGUAGGCAGCGAGCGUUGUUCGGAAUUACUGGGCGUAAAGCGCGCGCAGGCGGUCUUCCAAGUCAGUGGUGAAAGCCCGGGGCUCAACCCCCGGGAGGCGGGCGGAUACUGUCGAGCUAGAGUCCGGAAGAGGCGAGUGGAAUUCCUGGUGUAGCGGUGAAAUGCGCAGAUAUCAGGAGGAACACCAAUGGCGAAGGCAGCUCGCUGGGACGGUACUGACGCUGAGACGCGAAAGCGUGGGGAGCAAACAGG
rnacentral:rRNA from 1 species